rnacentral:rRNA from 1 species
GAGUAACAUACCUAUAAGACUGGGAUAACUUCGGGAAACCGGAGCUAAUACCGGAUAAUAUUUUGAACCGCAUGGUUCAAAAGUGAAAGACGGUCUUGCUGUCACUUAUAGAUGGAUCCGCGCUGCAUUAGCUAGUUGGUAAGGUAACGGCUUACCAAGGCAACGAUGCAUAGCCGACCUGAGAGGGUGAUCGGCCACACUGGAACUGAGACACGGUCCAG